UACGAAGGGGGCUAGCGUUGCUCGGAAUCACUGGGCGUAAAGCGCACGUAGGCGGAUUGCUAAGUCAGGGGUGAAAUCCUGGAGCUCAACUCCAGAACUGCCUUUGAUACUGGCGACCUUGAGUCCGGGAGAGGUGAGUGGAACUGCGAGUGUAGAGGUGAAAUUCGUAGAUAUUCGCAAGAACACCAGUGGCGAAGGCGGCUCACUGGCCCGGUACUGACGCUGAGGCGCGAAAGCUAGGGUAGCAAACGGG
rnacentral:rRNA from 1 species